rnacentral:rRNA from 1 species
AGAUUGAACGCUGGCGGCAUGCCUUACACAUGCAAGUCGAACGGUAACAGGUUAAGCUGACGAGUGGCGAACGGGUGAGUAAUAUAUCGGAACGUGCCCAGUCGUGGGGGAUAACUGCUCGAAAGAGCAGCUAAUACCGCAUACGACCUGAGGGUGAAAGCGGGGGAUCGCAAGACCUCGCGCGAUUGGAGCGGCCGAUAUCAGAUUAGGUAGUUGGUGGGGUAAAGGCCCACCAAGCCAACGAUCUGUAGCUGGUCUGGGAGACGACCAGCCACACUGGGACUGAGACACGGCCCAGACUCCUACGGGAGGCAGCAGUGGGGAACUUUGGACAAGUGGGCGCAAGGCCUGAAUCCAGCCAUGCCGCGUGCGGGAAGAACGGCCUUCGGGUUGUAAACCGUCUUUCGUACGUACGGAAGUAAAGGUUACUAGGUUAACUACCGUGGUACUGAUAGACGUACC